UUCCUUCACCUAUGUUUUGAAAAUUAAGUGGAUCUCUGGAACACAGCAUAAAUACACCUCCAAACAAAAUCAGCCGCAUACACCUUGUCUCUUCUGCCAUCGAUAGAUAUCUCUUCGGUUGUUCUGCUCAAUCCCUUCGUUAUCUAAAUUUCUAGGGUUUCAAGAUGACAAGAUCUGGUCAGCCUCACAGAAGAUAGUUCGAUUUCUGCCGGGUUCAAACCCUAUCUAAUGUUCGUCACUUUGUAUUGAUAGGGUUUGGAUCGAAUUGUUGAAUUGGUUGUCUGUCAAAUAAUCUUAAUCGAAAUUAUUUGAUAGAUUGAAGAACAGGCGAGGUCGUGGUGGUGGCCGUGGAUACGGGCAAGGUCGUGGUGGUGGCGGGUUCAAUUGAGGCUCAAGCAACAAUGAACAAUAGAGGGUUAUUUGGUGUUCAAGGUGUCAUUGAGGAGUCUGAUAUUGGGAAAGGUUAUGAGAGACACGAUGGCGAUGGUUCUCGUGGUGGUCGUCAUGGCGGAUUUGCUAAUGAAGAUGUAGAGGAUGGAGAUCAUCCUCGCCGUUCAUAUGAACGCCGCGGCGGGAUAGGCUAUUGCAGUCAACCUUUUAAAGGGGAUCAAUUUGGAAAGCCGUAACCUUGACCAAGAUGUGAAUUCAUGUGGUAAUAAUGAGAAAGCAACUGAUAAGAGAUACCAAGUUUUAGGAGUUCUUUUUCACGACUCCAUCGCCAUGCCAUGAUAAGGAGUCAAUCACGGGUAAAGAACCAGAAGAGUGCAUGUCCUCUAAACGUACAUAAAAAAGUAAACGGAACUUGUUUGUGCCAUUAUAGCAGCUGGUUACAUACAUAAAAAAGUAAACUGAACUUUUGUUUAUCAUUUCUUUGCCAUUCAUUUGAAUUUGAUAAUUCUGUUAGUAAUUUAAUCAUGUAUAUUGAUGUAUUAAUUACCAUAUUUUCUUAUACAGGGGCUCGAGGACCCAAAUAGGAGUAGAUACAAGCUUCUUUUGAGUUCUUCUCUAAUUAUAACUUCGACACCCCUAUCUCUCGAUUAAAUACAUGUUUAUUAAGAGUUGCAUUGAUGUUUUGCGGUUCACUCACUUUUUUUUCUAGGGGCUCAAGGACCCAAAUAGGAGUAGAUACAAACUUAUAUAGUUAUAUCACAUUAUGUUCUCUCUAUAACACCAACACUUGCAUGCUCACUCACUUUUUGUUCUUUUUUUCCUAAUAGCCGAGGGUGUAGUGAACGAUCUUGUGUUCACGAUAGCAAGACCUUUUAAUUGGAUUGGCUCAAGGAUGGAUUUCAAUCCAGGAAUCGAUGGUCCCAGUGAGGAUGUUUCAAGGGUUCUGACAGCAAUGUUAGCUUAUAUAUUCUCUUAAUUUCAGGGAUUUAAGAUGCUUUAGUUUUACAUCUAAUUUCCCAGAAUGUUAUUUGUUAUUUACCGACGACCCGUUCACCUAAAAGAAAUUAAUUCUUUAUAUUGCUCUUACAGUUUGCUUUGAUGUUUUUUUCAGGAUACACUUACUAUAGCAAUUCUUCCCAACAGCUUAUGGAUGCAAAUUAUGGUUCUAAAGCAGAGAGUAUAUCGAUUUGAAGAAAACUACCUAGAAAUAGUUCCUAGUUUGUGUAGGCAUUUUCGUUUGCAACUUUUGUAGAUAGGUUUCGGUUAGAAAUGUGUCUUUAGUAUUUCAAUUGAAAACAUACAUAUUGAUUUUUGGUUAAUUUCAUUUGAUUUUAGAUUUUCUAGA